UACGUAGGGUCCGAGCGUUGUCCGGAAUUAUUGGGCGUAAAGGGCUCGUAGGCGGUUUGUCGCGUCGGAAGUGAAAUCUUACAGCUUAACUGUGAACUUGCUUUCGAUACGGGCAGACUUGAGGCAUUCAGGGGAGAACGGAAUUCCUGGUGUAGCGGUGAAAUGCGCAGAUAUCAGGAGGAACACCGGUGGCGAAGGCGGGUCUCUGGGCCGAUACUGACGCUGGAGGAGCGAAAGCGUGGGGAGCGAACAGG
rnacentral:rRNA from 1 species